AUGUGUAUUCUAGAGCCCUCAAGAAAAGAACUUAGGUCUUUUAUUUUCUCUGGACUCUUAAAAUCAAUCCCUCUCAGAUGACUAUAUGCUAGAGCAGUGCCCUUACCUGAAGGCCUAGAACUGCUAGUAUGCCCAGUAACCUAAGAAUGCUCACUGGAGUGAACCAACAUACAGAUCUGUAUUGUGGGUAGUCUCUGUGUAAUAAACUCACAGGAAUCUGGGCAAUUAGUGCUGAGCCUAUCUUGCUUUUCUUCUCUCUAUUCUUCAUAGCUGGCUCCCACCAGAAGUACUUCCCUGCUCAACUCCAUGACUGUCAUCCAGAAUCCUGUGAAGGUCUGUGAUCAGGUAUUUGCCCUGAUCGAAAACCUCACCCACCAGAUCCGGGAACGAAUGCAGGACCCCAGGUCUGUAGACCUGCAGCUCUACCACAGUGAGACACUAGAGCUAAUGCUACAGCGUUGGAGCAAGCUGGAGCGUGACUUUCGACAGAAGAGUGGGCGCUAUGAUAUCAGUAAGAUCCCUGACAUCUAUGACUGUGUCAAGUAUGAUGUGCAGCACAAUGGGAGUCUGGGACUUCAAGGCACAGCAGAGUUGCUCCGUCUCUC
rnacentral:sRNA from 1 species